rnacentral:lncRNA from 1 species
ACCUCAACACAUAAUCCCUUCACUUAUUACCCUAACCGUCAACUUUGCAUUUUAGCCCAAGUCAGUCAAUAACAUAUCAACACAUCAGUCAAACAAACUAAGUAAUCAUAAAAUCCCUUCAGUUCACUAGCACACAACCAUACUUGGUAUAAUUUACACUCGGUCCACACGAGAGCCAACCAGUUCACAUCCACAUAUUAUAUAGGCAACAUACUCAGUUUUGCAGUCGUUUCAACAUCCAUAUGUAUAUAUAUAUAUAUAUAUAUAGUUUCAGUCAAACACAACAUACAUUCAAUCUCAAGUCUACUGCAAAUUAUAUAUAUCAUAACUGACAUCCAUUCUCAGUUUAGGGAUAACAUACAGUCAACAUAUUAUGCUUUAUAGGUGAGUCCAGUAGUAGAAAAUCUCUUACUAAUACAUAAUCCGACCUUAACGUAACGAUUUCUCAAAUAGAUAUACUCAUACAUAAGUGUCACUCAUCUUAGUUCAGUCAAUCCAGUCAAACGUACACCAUCCGUUCUUUAACAU